CUCGUAGGCGGCCAACUAAGUCAGACGUGAAAUCCCUCAGCUUAACUGGGGAACUGCGUCUGAUACUGGAUGGCUUGGAUUCGGGAGAGGAAUGCGGAAUUCCAGGUGUAGCGGUGAAAUGCGUAGAUAUCUGGAGGAACACCGGUGGCGAAGGCGGCAUUCUGGACCGAUAUUGACGCUGAGGAGCGAAAAGGCCAGGGGGAGCAAACG
rnacentral:rRNA from 1 species